CGACCGGCGCACGGGUGAGUAACGCGUAUCCAACCUGCCUUACACUCUUGGACAGCCUUCUGAAAGGGAGAUUAAUACAAGAUGUUAUCAUGAGUAAGCAUUUUCACAUGAUUAAAGGUUUACCGGUGUAAGAUGGGGAUGCGUUCCAUUAGAUAGUAGGCGGGGUAACGGCCCACCUAGUCUUCGAUGGAUAGGGGUUCUGAGAGGAAGGUCCCCCACAUUGGAACUGAGACGCGGUCCAA
rnacentral:rRNA from 1 species